CUUCCUCACCAUUGGAGCAAGCUAUUGAGGUAAGCUCUCACUACAACAAAACUAUGUUUUAGCGGCGAUUAUUUUUUAAAUUAGCGGCAAUUACAAUUGCCGCUAAAAUAUUUUGUGGCAAUUUUAACAAUUGCCGCUAUUGGCAGGGUCGCUAAAAGUUUUAGCGGCAUUUAUUCUGGCGGUUGGUAAAAAUCCAAAUAAAUGCCGCUAAAUAUUAUACAAUAACGACUAUUAUAAAUGCCGCUAAAUAGUAUGCAAUAACAACCAUUAGAAAUACCGCUAAAUAUUAUACAAUAACAAUUAUUAUAAAUGCCGCUAAAUAGUAUGCAAUAACAACUAUUAUAAAUGUCGCUAAAUACUAAACAAUAACAACUAUUAUAAAUGCCGCUAUAAUUAAUUAUAAUUGUCGCAAAAAAUAUACUAAAUGAUUGGUAAAUAAAGCUUAUAGCGGCAAUUAAAUUAAUAUUAAACUACUUGAUUAACAACUAAAUACUACAAUGAAUUGAUCAUAUCAAAUUUUUGAAAAAUAUGAAGGUCAUAACUCAUAACUCGAAUAAACUUUAGCUUCAGGAUACACCAGAGGCACCCAAGUCAUACUAGGGCUACUCAGCCCUUUUCUUUCCAUCACCUCUCGCUGCCUUCCGGUACAAAGACAAUUAUACAUGCCCAAAACAAUGAUCAGAGAAUAAAUUCUCUCUAAGUAAAACCAAUAAUCCAAAUAAUAUGCAAAUCUUGGUAAGAAAUUAGUUCGACAAAGCACACAGCCCCUCGUCAAGAAAUUACUGACUUAUUGCCUAUUAUAUUUGGCAAAUAGUGUGGCAUAAUAUUAAAGUAUCAUGAAACUGGAUUCUUCGUGUAAAAUACAAAUUUAUGAUACAACUACCCUUUAUGAUACAACUUCUCUUUAUCUUAGGGCGCAAGCCAACUAACCACUUCAUGUGAGAAAAGAAUACUCAUCGAAGCCAAUUCUCAACAGUUACAUCUAAGAGUAAAUUAAAGAUUU
rnacentral:lncRNA from 1 species